GAUGAACGCUGGCGGCGUGCCUAAUACAUGCAAGUCGAGCGAACGGACGAGAAGCUUGCUUCUCUGAUGUUAGCGGCGGACGGGUGAGUAACACGUGGAUAACCUACCUAUAAGACUGGGACAACUUCGGGAAACCGGAGCUAAUACCGGAUGAUAUUUUGAACCGCAUGGUUCAAAAGUGAAAGACGGUCUUGCUGUCACUUAUAGAUGGAUCCGCGCUGCAUUAGCUAGUUGGUAAGGUAACGGCUUACCAAGGCAACGAUGCAUAGCCGACCUGAGAGGGUGAUCGGCCACACUGGAACUGAGACACGGUCCAGACUCCUACGGGAGGCAGCAGUAGGGAAUCUUCCGCAAUGGGCGAAAGCCUGACGGAGCAACGCCGCGUGAGUGAUGAAGGUCUUCGGAUCGUAAAACUCUGUUAUUAGGGAAGAACAUAUGUGUAAGUAACUGUGCACAUCUUGACGGUACCUAAUCAGAAAGCCACGGCUAACUACGU
rnacentral:rRNA from 1 species